rnacentral:rRNA from 1 species
UACGUAGGGUCCGAGCGUUGUCCGGAAUUAUUGGGCGUAAAGAGCUCGUAGGCGGUUUGUCGCGUCUGCUGUGAAAUCCCGAGGCUCAACCUCGGGUCUGCAGUGGGUACGGGCAGACUGGAGUGCGGUAGGGGAGAAUGGAAUUCCUGGUGUAGCGGUGAAAUGCGCAGAUAUCAGGAGGAACACCGGUGGCGAAGGCGGGACUCUGGGCCGAUACUGACGCUGAGGAGCGAAAGCGUGGGGAGCAAACAGG